rnacentral:rRNA from 1 species
AUGUGGGGUACCUUUCGAGUGUGGGAUGCUCAUUUAACUUCUCUAUUCAUCUUGUUCCUUAUUUACCUGGGUGCACUGCGUUUUCAAAAGCUUCCUGUCGAACCAGCUCCUAUUUUAAUCCGUGUUGGAUCGAUCGAUAUACCAAUAAUAAAGUCUCCAGUCAACUCGUGGAAUACAUCGCAUCAACCUGGGAGCAUUAGCCGAUCUGGUAAAUCAAGACAUGUUCCUAUGCCCAUUCCAAUCUUGUCUAACUUCACUAACUUCCCCUUCUCUACCCGUAUCUUGUUUGUUCUGGAAACAUGUCUUCCUAUUCCAUCUUUUCCCGAAUCUCCCUUGAUGGAAGAAAUAGAAGCUCGAGAAGGAAUACCACUAAAAACCUAG